AGCGAACGCUGGCGGCAGGCCUAACACAUGCAAGUCGAACGAACCUUUCGGGGUUUGUGGCGGACGGGUGAGUAACACGUGGGAACGUGCCCUUAGGUUUGGAAUAACUCAGGGAAACUUGUGCUAAUACCGAAUGUGCCCUUCGGGGGAAAGAUUUAUCGCCUUUAGAGCGGCCCGCGUCUGAUUAGCUAGUUGGUUGAGGUAAUGGCUCACCCAGGCGACGUUCAGUAGCUGGUCUGAGAGGAUGAUCAGCCACAUUGGCACUGAGACACGGCCGAAACUCCUACGGGAGGCAGCAGUGGGGGAUCUUGCGCAAUGGGGGAAAGCCUGACGCAGCCAUGCCGCGUAAAUGAUGAAGGUCUUAGGAUUGUAAAAUUCUUUCACCGGGGACGAUAAUGACGGUACCCGGAGAAGAAGCCCCGGCUAACUUCGUG
rnacentral:rRNA from 1 species